UUUUUUUGGAAAUGUUAAUUUCUAAUUCUUAUCUUUACCAAUAGAUGUCUGCCACUCCUGCUGACCUUGAGAAGACUGCUAACUUACCUGUGACUCCUCGAUUGAUUCUGCUUGAAGAAGCAGCAUCCACACUGGAAUUUCUACAACGACGAUUUGUUGGAAUAAAUCCAGAAAUGCUGCAAAAGGAAAAGUGACGUCUAAAAAGUCGGGGAAAACAGUACAAAAGAAGACCAUGACAGUCAAUCUGAAAGUGUCGAAUCUUUUAAAAAGAUUGAUGGACU